GACAUGCAGUAAUGAGGGUGGCACCAGUAUAAAGCAACACACUCCAUGCACUAAACAGAAGCUGCUGCCUGCUACAACAAGGUCAUUGUGUGGACUUUGGCUGCUACUACAAGAGUCUGUGCCAAGUACAUCUUGGUCAUCACGGGAGCCCCCAUCUACACCAACAGGAAGGGGCUGGAGCUGAAUUCACAAGACCACGAACAAAGAAGCCAUUCCAGAAUUAUUUGGAUGAGAUAUCAAGUCUACGGACGACUGUUUCAAGAGUGAAAAGAGCCUACGCCAUCAUUCCACCAGCACGGAUAUUGGCCGAGUCAUCCAGGUACCUCAACAACAAAAAUUAUUUGUCUUCAGAUGUACCUGCAACCUCUGAACAAGCACAGACGACGCUGGCUAAGAGUGUUCUGUCAGCUUGCCCUUCCUUAGGGAGCUCCCUGGCCUUGCCAAUUCUUGCCAAGUAUAAUUUUGUUUCAAUGAA